AGCGAACGCUGGCGGCAGGCUUAACACAUGCAAGUCGAGCGGGCAUCCUUGUGGUGUCAGCGGCUGACGGGUGAGUAACGCGUGGGAACGUGCCCUUCGGUUCGGAAUAACUCAGGGAAACUUGAGCUAAUACCGGAUACGUGCGAGAGCAGAAAGGUUUAUCUGCCGAGGGAUCGGCCCGCGUCUGAUUAGCUAGUUGGUGAGGUUAUGGCUCACCAAGGCGACGAUCAGUAGCUGGUCUGAGAGGAUGAUCAGCCAAACUGGGACUGAGACAGGGCCCGACUCCUGGCGGAAGGCGGAAUUGGGGAUCAUUGGACACUGGGGCAACGCUGAUCCAGCCAGGCCGCGUGAGUGAUGACGGCCUUAGGGUUGUAAAGCUCUUUUCUUCGAGACGAUAAUGACGGUACCGGAAGAAUAAGCCCCGGCUAACUUCGUG
rnacentral:rRNA from 1 species